rnacentral:rRNA from 1 species
UACGUAGGGCGCAAGCGUUGUCCGGAAUUAUUGGGCGUAAAGAGCGUGUAGGCGGCCAGGUAGGUCCGUUGUGAAAACUCGAGGCUCAACCUCGAGACGUCGAUGGAAACCAUCUGGCUAGAGUCCGGAAGAGGAGAGUGGAAUUCCUGGUGUAGCGGUGAAAUGCGUAGAGAUCAGGAAGAACAUCGGUGGCGAAGGCGCUCUGCUGGACCAUAACUGACACUCAGGGACGAAAGCUAGGGGAGCGAAUGGG